AUCCAGUUGUGCGAGGAAUGUUAAAAACAAACCAAAACAAAACCCAGACCAGAUACCACACUUCCUGCACGGAGCUUACUAUCUGAGACAAGAGCCAAUCUCCUUCAGAAUCAAGAACAAAUCAGGAAAAUUCAUCAAGAUGGAUACAGAGUAGUCCCAGAAAUCAGGAGUCAAUUUAUGUCUAGAACUGCAGUAAAGAAAAUUGUGAAGAAACAGAACUACACUGCAAUGAAGAAAUACUUGAAAUAUGUGCGUUAUUCACAGAAAACUGAGCCUGGUUUUGACUUCAGCCCAGAGUAAGCUGAGCAAAACGUUAUUGGAAGCCGUGGAGGUGCGCCAUGU
rnacentral:lncRNA from 1 species